CAGUAGCCGCGGGAACACGGAGGGCGCGAGCGUUACCCAGAUUUACUAGGCGUAAAGGGCGUGUAGGCGGCCUGGGGCGUCCCAUGUGAAAGGCCACGGCUCAACCGUGGAGGAGCGUGGGAUACGCUCAGGCUAGAGGGUGGGAGAGGGUGGUGGAAUUCCCGGAGUAGCGGUGAAAUGCGCAGAUACCGGGAGGAACGCCGAUGGCGAAGGCAGCCACCUGGUCCACUUCUGACGCUGAGGCGCGAAAGCGUGGGGAGCAAACCGGAUUAGAUACCCCCGUAGUCCCUGUCUCUUAUAC
rnacentral:rRNA from 1 species